AGUUUCGAGCAAAGGAGGAAGUGAUACAGCGGAAGCAAAGAGCUUUCUUCAUACGCCAGACUCUCAUCUCUUUGCUUGUUGCACAUUUGAAACACACACUGGAUGACAACGCUAAUCAUACUUGCUGUGCCUCUCAUGCUGCCUGGCCAUGGACGACAUACACAACGGGGUUCAGAUCGGAGAGAACAAGUUCAUCAGCAAGGCAACCAUUCUCUCACAUCUAAAGACGUACAACCUUUACUAUGAAGGACAGAAUCUACAGCUCAGACACAGAGAGGAAGAGGGCGAGCUGAUCGUUGAAGGCCUAUUGAACAUCUUUUGGGGCCUGCGUCGUCCAAUCAGGCUUCAGAUGCAGGACGACCAUGAGCGGAUACGACCGCCUCCUUCCUCCACAUCCUGGCACUCAGGUUGCAUUCUGGACAGUCAAGGGUCCCCAAACAGCACAGACAGCCAACAGACGCCACACAUGACUGUGCCCACUUUGGAGGUGACCUCUCCCGACAAGCAAUCAGAGAACAAUGGUGUGAUGGAGGAGCACACAGAAGAAGAGGACUGUGAAAACUCAGCUCAGCUGCUCAGAACCAAAAGUGACGCCGGUGUUCUAAGGCGGGCCCACCGGCGCUCCCCGAGCGACCAGAGGAAGAUCCGGCGCCAUCGAUUCUCCAUCAACGGACACUUCUACAACCACAAGACAGCCGUGUUCACUCCUGCUUACGGCUCUGUGACCAACGUACGCAUCAACAGCUGCAUGACAACUCCUCAGGUGCUACGAGUUCUUCUCAACAAGUUUAAGAUUGAAAACAGCCCCGAUGACUUUGCACUCUACCUCGUUCAUACUAGUGGAGAGCGUGCAAAGCUGAAACGCAGCGACUUCCCACUGGUGUUGAGAAUAAUACAGGGCCCAUGUGAGCAAGUGUGUAAGCUGUUCCUCAUGGAGGAGGAUCUAGGAGAAGAAGUCACCUAUGACGUGGCGCAGUAUAUCAAAUUUGAGAUGCCGGUUUUGCAGAGCUUUGUCACCAAGCUGAAGGAAGAGGAGGACAGAGAGGUGCAAAAACUGAGGAGAAGGUACAACAUUCUGCGCUCCAUCAUAGAGAAGCAGCUGGGCUGUCUGCCAGAAGCAGCCUCGUGUAUGUGAACUAGCAACUACCAUCCUGGGGAACUUUCCAGGUGAAGGUUUACAUUGUGUGUGGACAUUUUACAUCAGAGUGAUUGUCUUAUGCUAGUUUUUCAUUUUAAGCACAUGCAUUAAGUCAUGCUUUGAGUCAAGUGCCUGAUAAAAACACAACAAGCAAUGAUUACAUGAUCCCGACAUGAAAGUUUUACAUGUAUAAGCACAAAGGUGGGGGACACAAAAGGUGAGGAGCCUUAAUUAUCUCCCACAAUGCACUGUGUUCCAUGCUUCUGUUAACCAAAUGGACUGAAUUGGUUCUACAGCAGACAUAUUAAGCUCUUCACGCACAUCAGCCCAGCCUGCAUGCUCAGUUCAACACGUGGGAGAGACUAACAUUUAUGCAACAGAGUGCUAAAAACAGCAGAAAACUCCAGACGAAAAGAAAGAUCUGUGACCAGCUUUUUUGCAGUACAUUCCUAAAAACAGCAGUGGGCUGAGAACCAGGGUCAUCUGCAGCGGACAUUUGUGGUUUGCCUAACAGGGACUAUUUCUUCCUAAAGUGUGUAACUCUGACCAAAAACAAAUAUGUACUGCAGAAGAUGCUGAUUUUCAGGACAAUAGAGAAUAUUUUAUUACCAUUUUUGUAGCAGAUUCCUUAAAAACAGAUUGGGGUUCAUCAUAGAAAAUUUUGGACUGGUAGUGUCCUAAUCCUAAAAACAGCUGAGGGCGCCUGUCGGAGAGCAGUGGUCUCCAACAAUUGACCCGGGGACCGCGGCCGGUCCGUGACAUAUUUUCUACCGCACCACACAAAUCAUUUACAGACUACUUAAUUUUUUCUGAAUGAAGUUUUGCGUGUCCCACUAGACACCAAUAAUAUCAAAGCUGUAUAAUAAAACUCCUGAUAGGAAGUUGCCAUUUGUUAUAUUUUUCUUACAAGGGACAAUGCACAGUAAUUAACAUAUACAAUGUAAAUGUAUGAGAUUGUGGCCAAAAAUUAAGCAAUCUACAGUCCCUAGCAGGUUAAUGGUGUAUAGUAGUGAUGGGUUGAUGAGGCUUCAUGUAUCGUUUUGACACAUUGCUAAACUGUAUUGAUACUGUGUCACUAAAUACUGACAUCUGCUGGACAUUAAAAAUCCCUACAGGCAACCUAUGGACCGACUCAACUAAACUGAUUUUAUGACCUAGUACAGUGGUUCUCAAAUGGGGGUACGUGUACCCCUGGGAGUACUUGAAGGUAUGCCAAGGGGUAUGUAAGAUUUUUUUUUUUUAAUAUUCUAAAAAUAGCAACAAUUUAAAAAUAAUUUAUACAUGUAUUAAUUGAAUAAUACUUCAACAAAAUAUGAAUGUAAGUUCCUAAACUGUGAAAAGAAAUACAACAAUGCAAUAUUCAGUGUUGACAGCUAGAUUUUUUGUGGCCAUGUUCCAUAAAUAUUGAUGUUAAAGAUUUAUUUUUUUCUGAAAAAAUGUUUUGAAUGAAGUUGAUGAAUCCAGAUGGAUCUCUUACAAUCCCCAAAGAGGGCACUUUAAGUUGAUGACUACUUCUAUGUGUAGAAAUCUUUAUUUAUAAUUGAAUCACUUGUUUAUUUUUCCCAAAAUUUUUAGUUGUUUUUAUGUCUUUCUUUCCAAAUAGUUCAAGAAAGACCACUAUAAAUUAGCAAUAUUUUUGCAGUUAUACAAUUUCAUAAAUCAGAAACUGAUGAUAUAGUGCUUUAUUUUACUUCUUUAUCUUUUUUUUUUUCAACCAAAAAUGCUUUGCUCUGAUUAGAGGGUACUUGAAUUAAAAAAAAUGUUCACAGGGGGUACAUCACUGAAAAAAGGUUGAGAAGCACAGACCUAGUAUAUACAAUAAUAUAAACUAAGUCAUUGUAUUUCAUUUAGGAUUAUUUCAUAUCUUCAUCUAAAUAAAAAUGUAUUUUUAUCUUUUUUAGAUAGUCAAUAAAUAAUGUGAACAUGAUUGACUGAUUGAUUGAAACUUGUAUUAGUAGAUUGUACAGUACAUAUUCCGUACUAUUGACAAUUAAAUGGUAACACCCCGAUAAGUUUUUCAACGUGUUUAAAUCGGGGUCCACGUUAAUCAUUUCAUGGUAAAAAGGUAAUGGGUUCGAGCUGGAUUUUAACAAGUGCCCUAAGUAACUCAGCAUGAACUACAGUCCUCCACUCUACUGAGCUAUCGAAGAGAUUGUUUGUUACCGCUUUUUAAUGUAACCAAUUGGAUGUUUGUGUGGGUGGGACAAUGCUAGAAACUUUGAGAGAACAGGAUGAAACGACAAGGAAAUGAACACAAAUACCUUUUUUCCAGAUAUAUGAUCAAAAUAUUCCCACACGGUGGAAAUGAUCUCCGACAACGAUAAAUGACAAAUGACCAACGACAGAAGUGCGGCGAUUCUGUUGGCAGCAGCAUCUCGAUGACAGAUGCGCUUCCUUAUAAACACAGGUUGGCGCGCAGGUGCCAGUGCGACACAGUCGUGUAUCGGUCACGUGACCAAAACAGCUCAUGAUCGGUCACGUGACUUUCUAAGAGUGGUACGCGCACCGACACAGCGUUUUGCUCUAUGAGCUCGAUGCAUGGGUCGAUGCAUUGGUGUUGCCGGACCCAUCACUAGUAUAUAGUGUGUGUACCAUCAACCUGCCAGGGACCAUCUCAUCACAAAGAAUAAAACCCAUGGUUACCACUAGCUCUGCAUUAUAGUGAGUUGUGUUUAUCUGCUACAUGUGGAAGGCAGAUCAACAUAAAUAAUACAGACAUUAGACCAGUCCUAGGUGCAAAGGUUGGGGACCACUGAUAGAGAGAAUCUUUGACUUGUAUUUCUUUUGCAGUAAAUUCCUUAAAAACAGUGAAGCUCUCUUAGAAUAUAUGGAACCUUUGACUAACAAUAUUGCAGCAGAUUCCUUAAAAACAGCAGAGCGGGCUCGUUUUUUCUGCAGUUUCCUUAGAGGGGCAGUUUGCAACCUUUACGCAGAAGCCUAGAGGGUGCUAAAAAUUGUUAAGUUUUAUAUUGCGGAAUCUUACGUUUCCAGCACAUGACGACGCCUGUCUGUAACACAUCUUUUUGUGCUGCCAGCUAAUGAUAACCAUCUGGCUCAUUAGCUAUCACUUUUUAAUGAGUACUCUAUCAUAACCUGGCUUUAAAUUGUUAGUUGUUUCUCUGGGACUGCAUGCUCCCUCAUGUAUGUGUGGAUGUGGCAGCAGUGAGUCCCAUAAGCCUGCACGGCAAACAAAUUAAUCGGACCAACAAGCAGAUUUUCCAUCCAUCCAUUUUCUACCGCUUAUUCCCUUUUGGGGUCACGGGGGGUGCUGGCGCCUAUCUCAGCUACAAUCGGGCGGAAGGCGGGGUACACCCUGGACAAGUCGCCACCUCAUCGCAGGGCCAACACAGAUACACAGACAACAUUCACACACUAGGGCCAAUUUAGUGUUGCCAAUCAACCUAUCCCCAGGUGCAUGUCUUUGGAGGUGGGAGGAAGCCGGAGUACCCGGAGGGAACCCACGCAUUCACGGGGAGAACAUGCAAACUCCACACAGAAAGAUCCCGAGCCUGGAUUUGAACCCAGGACUGCAGGAACCAAAUUUGUAUUGUGAGGCAGACGCACUAGCCACUCUGCCCCCGUGAAGCCCCAAGCAGAUUUUAUUUAAUAUAAUUAUUCAUCGGGAAAAACACUUCAAAUAUCUAUGUUCUGUAAACCACUACUGGUAACAAACUAACCAGUGGUGUGCGCGUUAUGUUUUUUGGUUUAAAAAGUAAUUGAGGAAGUUGCAAACAGCCCCUUUAAAGAUGGCAGCAUUUAACAGUGAUAAAAAGGAUUGUCCCUCUUUUUUUAAACAUCCAGCUGUUUGUUUUGCCUUUAUGGUAUCAUACACCUUAUUAAGAAUCAUGGCCACAUGGAGUGAUGUCAUAAAAGUGCUUUGAUGGGUCAUAAAGUGGAAAGAGCAUCAAUCGAACAAACAAUUGGAAAAGCAUUGUCAUAUUGGGUGUUUGGACUGUUGUUUAGUCUGGUACAAAAAGCACAUUAACUUGUGGAGAUGAUGUGAUGCACACAGUUUACACAAUCUCACAUUGUGAGUGGAAGUAGGUCAGCGUGAGUGCGGCGCUGCUGCCAUGUUUGUGUGCGUGCUGUUGAUGAAAUAUUUGCUGACUGAGACACAGGUAAGCUGCUUCAAGGUGCUUCCUGCGCGCUAACCACACUGUCAUCGCAAGAUGGUAACAGUAGCGUCGAUUGAAAAUGUGCAUGUUUUUUUUGUAUGGCUUGUUAUUGAAAAGUAUUUUAGUCUUUGACAUGUGAACAACUCAUGAUGAUAUGAAAAUGUAUUGAACAACGAUUGUAAUUUAAUUAAAAAAACCCUUGGGAAAAUGCAUCAAAUGUUAUGUAAUGUUGUCAAUAUCCAAUUAGUCAUGCUCAGGACUAAGAUGUGUUAUUCUCUCAUUGGCAGCAUACACGCACACACACACAUUAGGUACUUAAGUCCUACUGUCAGUAGUACAGCAGCUUACUGCUUCACACCAGCCAAUCACCACCUAGCACCUGUCUGAAGGGCAACCAGCCCACCCUAAAACACAUUUACUGCUUUCAGUCUCUGAACUGCUUCGUUACACACCAACUUCUGUAGGUGGAAGAAGAGCAUCACUUGAAGACCUUGGAUUUAUUCCCAAACAAGUCAACGAUCAUGUUCAAACUGAUGUCAGUGAUCCUGGGCGUGCUGCUCCUCGCCACGGUGGCACCCACCCCCGAGGCCAGACGUGGCGGAGGCUUUAGAGGGGGAGGUGGAGGCAGCAGACCGGUCUACAGAGCGCCACCUCCAAGGAGCAGUGGACCCAGCACGGGUAAAAUAGCCGGAGCAGCGGCAGUGGGGGCCCUCGGAGGAACCAUGCUGGGCUCUGCCCUGAGCCGCCCCGGGUACGGCUACGGUGGGGGAUACGGAGGCUACGGAGGAUACGGAGGUUAUGGGGGCAUGGGGGGCUUUGGUGGGGGUUACGGCUACCCGAGAGUAGCUGCUGGCCAUGCCUACAAACCAGCGUAUGAGGCGGAGGGCUCUGGAGAUGUGGAGUACUACACUGGAGCGUCGAGUGGCCGCAUCUACAGCAGCAUCAUCGUCCUUGUUGGCACCCUGCUGUCUCUGCUGCUCGGACACUGGUCGGCACUGCCAGCCAUCAUGUGAAGAUGCAACUUGAUGCUGCAGCCAUAGAAGCCACAAUCAACUGGACACAAGCGUGAACUGCUAGAGUGACAUUACAGUAUUAGUACUUAAAUAGUGUGUGAGCCUCAGGAACAUGCUUCACACCCCGUUUCAACAGACUGCACUACUAAACUUGCUCAAUGAAGCCAUUAAUCCUGACUUACCCAUUAUGAUUUUAAAAAAUCUGCACACGUUUUAUUUUUUGCAGGUUAUAGAAAAUGGAUGGAAGUUACAUAUAAUGUGCUCCGGAGUUUAAUUAUAAUUGUCAGUAGCAAAGGACUCACGUCGGUCAAAAUAGAUAUUUUUUAAUCUAAGGCAAAUUGAUGUACAUAAAAUAUUUUCUUUUAGACUAAAAAACAAUGUUAUUAAAGUUGUUCUUUGUUGCAAAUUGAUAUUUAUUUUUUCUUUUUAGUGUUAAUAAGAAUAAAGUUUUAUGCAGGGAUGUACUUUUUUUUUU